rnacentral:rRNA from 1 species
CCUACGGGGGGCAGCAGUGGGGAAUAUUGGACAAUGGGGGGAACCCUGAUCCAGCCAUGCCGCGUGUGUGAAGUAGGCCCUCGGGUUGUAAAGCACUUUCAGUGAGGAAGAACGCCUGGUGGUUAAUACCCAUCAGGAAAGACAUCACUCACAGAAGAAGCACCGGCUAACUCCGUGCCAGCAGCCGCGGUAAUACGGAGGGUGCGAGCGUUAAUCGGAAUUACUGGGCGUAAAGCGCGCGUAGGUGGCUUGAUAAGCCGGUUGUGAAAGCCCCGGGCUCAACCUGGGAACGGCAUCCGGAACUGUCAAGCUAGAGUGCAGGAGAGGAAGGUAGAAUUCCCGGUGUAGCGGUGAAAUGCGUAGAGAUCGGGAGGAAUACCAGUGGCGAAGGCGGCCUUCUGGACUGACACUGACACUGAGGUGCGAAAGCGUGGGUAGCAAACAGGAUUAGAUACCCUUGUAGUC